CAUGGGGUCGCAGAGUCGGACACGACUGAGCGACUGGACUGGACUGAACUGAACAUCCGUCAGUCAUGGAGCAAGCACUCAACAUGUAGCAGGCGCAGUCUUAGGUCUCUAUUUGCAGAAUCUCAUUUAAUCUUCCCAACAUCCCCUAUCGGGUCAGCACUGUUAUAAGUCCCAGUUUUCUGUGAAGAUGAAGGAGGCGGAGACAAACACAAAGUGACCAGGUCAUUUGAAAUGACAGGGCUCAAACACAGACCCAACAUCGGUAUAAGCGGUGCCCCGACCUGUCUGCAAGCUGCCUUCCUCUGCUUCAGCCAAGCCAGCUUCAAGGAGCGGGAGUGUGGGUCCAACAUCACUCUUUGACCCCACUGUGGUCAGGAAACCCUUCUGGACACAGCAGCNNNNNNNNNNNNNNNNNNNNNNNNNNNNNNNNNNNNNNNNNNNNNNNNNNNNNNNNNNNNNNNNNNNNNNNNNNNNNNNNNNNNNNNNNNNNNNNNNNNCUGUGGUCAGGAAACCCUUCUGGACACAGCAGCUGCAGCCACACACCCCUCCUACGGCUGGACACGGCCACGGCCGGCCUGGGCUUGGCUCCCGACACUCACCGUGCAGGUGGCUCCACAGUAGUGCCCACCUUUCCACAGUCCCCAGGCUGACGGCCCCUUUCUGCAUAUCCCGAUUAAUUCGAAGCCGUGAGAGGUCCGCUUGUGUUCAGAGGCCAGCAAAGGGGUUUCUUGCAGGUCUCAGACGGACAUGAAUAGGGUGCCUGGAAGCCCCAUUCACAGCAGUGUUGAAUCCACAGCGGCGGCGGUGUGAUGCUGACCACACCACCUGUCGACAGAAGGUGGAGGAAGAGCAGAGGCCCGUUCUUACGGGCCAGGCCCUCUCUGCUCUUGGGAGACAGGAUUCAGGGACGGCAUUUUCACUCGUCAAGCGGUUGGAGGUGUAAAACCUUCUCCUGGCGAAGGCAUACUGCCCACCAGAUAAUCAGAAAAAGAAUCACCUUUGUGUCCUUCUUUGGAAAACCACAUGUGGGAUGGGAGACAGGGAACCAGAGCUGGAAUUGCGCAUGAUGAAACAGCAGUACUGAUCAUAAUCGCGGAACCCAGCGCUGACUCAGCACUUGCUGUCUACACCUAGUCGGUUCUUGUUAUCUGCACGUUAUGCUUGACAAAGUUGCCACAAACACUGCUCCUAGGAGAGACAUAGGUCAGGUUCCUGUGAGCUUGUGAGAGCACUUUCCUCAAAUGAUCAGCCUACAGCCUCGCCUGAUGUGCUUCUGUUUAAAAGCUUCUCAGCACGCAUUAUUGACUCAUUCACGUGGAACUCACAGCCAUCAGUGUAUAACAGCCUGAACGCUUCUCGAAGACACAUUCCCCUCCAUAAGCUUUCUUGCACUUAGGGUGCAAGGCAGCACUUCAGCACAAGGCUUGGGGCCUGUUUUAAACAGUGAGAUCACCGACAAAAGGCGCAAAUAUGUGAAAAAUGUGGAAGUAAGCAGACCGUGAAAGUGUCGCUUGUUUGCAGAAUGAGCAGAAACAAGGAGACACAGCACAGUCUGGCUCCACCGCAGCCCAACUGGAGAGCGGGGCGACCAGCUUUUCACGCCUCUGCACCUGCCCCCACUCACUGAGAACAUGCAUGCAAGUAUUAACUUUGGGUUACAAACAAACUUUGGCCAGUGGGUGAAUUUGCAAUAUAGAACCCCUGAAUAAAGAGGGUCAGGAGAUAUAUUAUUUUUAUUUCGUCCUCAUAACAACCCUGCAAGAUAGGAACCACGAUCCCCUUGAUUUUCACAUGGCAUUGUGAAAAGGGAGUGGAGGUUGAAUCGCCCCCAACAUCACAGCUACGGAACAGCGGCGUCAGGACCCUAGCCCAGGCCGGCUGACUCCGAGCCUAGACCCCGUCGGCGUUUCCAGUGGGUUAUGCCUUCAGGGCAUCUUACGCAGCAUUUUUUUUGGAAACUGAGUUUGACUCACAGGGCAUGAGAAGCAAGAAAGUCCGGAUCUCCAGUAUUACAUUCUAAGUAAAAUUUCUUAAACCCAGGUACAGGUUAAAAGCUGUGAAAUUGCCCUUUUCAGGUUAAACAGAGUCAGACUUUGGCAAUUUCACAUGGUUCAGCCUCACAUAUCCUUGGAAAGCUUUCUCCCCAUUAGUAGAGGUAGUUUAUUUCAUCGUUUUGUACACACAAAACUCAAGUUACUAUACUUCAAAAGGAAAAAUUUAAAAAACGAGAUAGACAGACUCUUUUUGUUAAAUAGAAGCAUAGAGGCGUAUCAUUUUACAGCAUUGAUGCUUUUGAACUGUGGUGUUGGAGAAGACUCUUGAGAGUCCC
ensembl:lncRNA